GAUGAACGCUGGCGGCGUGCCUAAUACAUGCAAGUCGAGCGAACAGAUGAUGAGCUUGCUCCUCUGCCGUUAGCGGCGGACGGGUGAGUAACACGUGGAUAACCUACCUAUAAGACUGGGAUAACUUCGGGAAACCGGAGCUAAUACCGGAUAAUAUAUUGAACCGCAUGGUUCAAUAGUGAAAGACGGUUUUGCUGUCACUUAUAGAUGGAUCCGCGCCGCAUUAGCUAGUUGGUAAGGUAACGGCUUACCAAGGCAACGAUGCGUAGCCGACCUGAGAGGGUGAUCGGCCACACUGGAACUGAGACACGGUCCAGACUCCUACGGGAGGCAGCAGUAGGGAAUCUUCCGCAAUGGGCGAAAGCCUGACGGAGCAACGCCGCGUGAGUGAUGAAGGUCUUCGGAUCGUAAAACUCUGUUAUUAGGGAAGAACAAAUGUGUAAGUAACUAUGCACGUCUUGACGGUACCUAAUCAGAAAGCCACGGCUAACUACGUG
rnacentral:rRNA from 1 species